GUCCCCGUAGUUCAACGGAUAGAAUACAAGCUUGCGGAGCUUGUGAUAGAGGUUCGAUUCCUCUCGGGGACACCA
rnacentral:tRNA from 1 species